AAAACAUUCAGACAGUCUGUCUAUUGUGCAAUCUCACCGGCUCAAAGGAAGAUCUUCCUUUCGUCAU
rnacentral:pre_miRNA from 1 species